rnacentral:rRNA from 1 species
AGUGAACGCUGGCGGUAGGCCUAACACAUGCAAGUCGAACGGCAGCACAGUAAGAGCUUGCUCUUACGGGUGGCGAGUGGCGGACGGGUGAGGAAUACAUCGGAAUCUACUUUUUCGUGGGGGAUAACGUAGGGAAACUUACGCUAAUACCGCAUACGACCUACGGGUGAAAGCAGGGGAUCUUCGGACCUUGCGCGAUUGAAUGAGCCGAUGUCGGAUUAGCUAGGUGGCGGGGUAAAGGCCCACCAAGGCGACGAUCCGUAGCUGGUCUGAGAGGAUGAUCAGCCACACUGGAACUGAGACACGGUCCAGACUCCUACGGGAGGCAGCAGUGGGGAAUAUUGGACAAUGGGCGCAAGCCUGAUCCAGCCAUACCGCGUGGGUGAAGAAGGCCUUCGGGUUGUAAAGCACUUUUGUUGGGAAAGAAAAGCAGCAGGUUAAUACCCCGCUGUUCUGACGGUACCCAAAGAAUAAGCACCGGCUAACUUCGUG